GGGUAGCUUAUUUGGUUAGGGCACGGUGCUGAUAACGACAAGGUUGCAGGUUUGAUCCCCGCAUGGGACA